UCCUUGGAGAGGUCAGGAAUCAUCAACAUCCAGUCCCUCCCUCCUGUGGGUUAGGCAUGUGGGUCCCCCAUGUUGCCCAGGAGUAGAGAGAAUGUGGAAUGGCUCUAGUUUUAGAAGCUGCAGGGUGGGUUACCACCUUCUGACAGUCAUUUGCUUAAACCUAUGGUAAGGUACUGUGGCAGUGCAUUUUGAUUAAAAGAAUGGCCACCAUGGGGACAGACAUGUCCUUAACAACACUGCAUCACAAUGGUGGCACUGUGGAGGUGAUAGGAUUAAAGAAGACGGCCGCAAAGAGAUGGCAGCUAUGGCCUUGACCUCCUGUCCAGAUCUAACAGUGAAAGUUCCCUGCUAACUUGGCAAAGGGGCACCUUUUAACAUGGUGAUUCUCUUUUAUUUAGCAGGGGAGAGUAACUGGCCCUACCCACCCCCAGCACAGUACUUUCCAGUGACUGUUGCUGGUGUCUAUCUUAUGUUUCUUUUUAGAUUGUGAGCCCUUUGGGGACAGGGAUCCUCCUUAUCUAUUUGUUAUUUUUCUGUGUUAAACCACCCUGAGCCAUUUUUGGAAGGGCGGUAUAGAAAUCAAAUGAAUGAAUGAAAGUUGGAGCAUCCAAUUGCUUUAAUUGCAGCAAUAGAAAAACAGUAACAAAUAGAUGAAGACUGAAUUAAAAUAAAAUAAAAUAAGCAAACUAAGCUAAACAAAUGAGAAAUGAACUAACUGGAAAUGGGAAAGAAAAAUGAAAUGAAAACAAAUUUUUGCAUGCUUUUACACAUCUCUUUAAAGUCCUCACUAAGGAGCCGACUUAAAGCAUGAAGUUAACCAGAACUGGUCUUUUCCAGAAAAGAGCCACCGGGGCCCCAAUUUAGUGUGGGAGCACAGCAUGUCUUGGUGGUGGGGUCAACACCUUUCCCCUCUGCCAUUUUCAUGCUGAAUAUUGCCUCCAUAGACCCCCAUGUCUAUGGGAGAGCUAAUGCCCACUUCCAGCUUGAAGCCCAUUUGUUAAUAACAGGGGUGAAAGUAGCAUGUAGUCUGGCCCUUAGAAGCCUGGGGAAGUUUGGAGUGAGUGCCAAAUCCUUGCAGAGGUCAUAAAUGAAGUAUCUAGUCCCCCUUGUGGACGGACUCUGGGAGUGGGGCGAGCAUGUCGUGUUCCUCAAGGACAGGCAGGAUGGGCAUCCAACCACAGAUGCAGCAGGACGGGAGGGAUUUUGCUUGGUGGGGUGGGCUUGAAUUCAGGGCUCAGCUACACAGUGCACAUGCCAGGUCCUCCAUCUGAAGGAAGCUGCACCUGAACUUUCCAGAGGUGAUUGCAGACUCAGGAGUGUUAAGAGAGAAGAGCCACGCAAUGGUCUCCCACUCCCCACUAUUCCUUUCUGCUGCCCUUCACGGCCCCCUAAGAGUCUUUUGUCCUUAGAGGCAUUUCUUGAACAAAAGGGUCCUAGUCUAAAAGUGAAGAGUGCCACAAAACUGGCAGAAGGACCCUUCCUUACUUUGGAAGCCAAGCAAUCUCCAUUUGGAAAGAGUGGACUGAGCUUCCUCUGCAGGGAUGGGACAGAAGAGGACUUGUGGGUGUGGAGGAUUUCUGGGGUGGCUUCCUCUCAGGGCCAAGUUGCAUGUUAGGAGGCUUGUGUGUUUCUUUUCUGACAGAAUGAAAAUCUUAGGAAUCCCAACCUUAUUCAUUCAUUUCCAUUCAUUGGGCAGUGGGGGAGGAAAUAAUGGCAAUCAAAGUUUCACUUCCAAUAAGUGCCUGGAAAUAAUGGCAAUCAAAGGCAAGGAAAGGGGGGCUGCUUUGAAUCUUGCUCUCCUCUUGGUUCAAAAAGGUGACUGUUUACAGUUUAUCUGCUUUGACUGAUUGCUGUGCAUCAAAUUACAAAAGCUCAGCCAAUACUUCCUGGCAGCCAUUUUGUUUCAACAACAGUUGAUCUACACCAGGGAUUCUCAACGUUGGGCCCCCAGAUGUUCUUGGACUUCAACUCCCAUAAACCCCAACAAAGGCCACUGGUGCUGGGGAUUAUGGGAGUUGAAGUCCAGCAAUAUCUGGGGACCCAACGUUGAGAAUCCCUGAUCUGCACCACACUGCUGGUGUGCUGCAUCUUGGGUACAAUAAUCUCUACCCUCUGGGCGGCCAUCUUCCUUCGUUCCUUCCUUCCUUCCUCUUAACAACAAUGCAUCGUGGUGGUGGCCCACUGCAGAUCAUAUGGCUCAACAAAAUGGCCUCAGGGAAGUGAGGGUCUGCCUGGGAGCUGCAGGGCAGACUGAGCUGCUAAAUUAAGCAUACUUUCUUUCUUGGUUGGUAAUCAAAGCAAAACAAAAAGCAAUAAAAAGGAAACCUAAAAGAAAAUGAACAUGAAAAUAAAUUAAGCUCAUAAGAAAUGAACUGAAUGCCAAAGGAGAAUAAACAUGAAAAGAAAAAUCUAGUGUAAAUGGGGGGAAAUGGCAGGCCUGUCUUUCCACAGUAGUUCAAACACAUCAUUAAGAAAAGGAGUUGAAGACUUAAGAGACUGGAAGCAUUUGCUUUAAGUCCCUAAACAGCCCCAGGUGGGUGAACCCCAAGCAACGUGGAAGCAGAGGGUCUGCAGGAGUGGGGGGCUGUACACUUGCCCCCUCUCUGCUUUUCCUGCCCAAUAUCGCCUCUGGAGCAGCUCUCCCCUGUGGCUCUUCUGGGAUGCAAAAUUUCCACCUCCGCCCCCCUUUCUGCAUUCAGCUCACCUGGUGAUGACCGCAGCCUGGAAAGCUCAAUGCGAGGGCCAGAGCAGCCAUUUCUCCCCAGUCUCUCCUUCACAGAGUUCUUCCAUCCCAGGGGCCAAGACUCCGUACGCCAGCAUCGUGGACGAGGGGUCGGAAGGGGACUGUGCCACCAGUUCACUCAGAGUCCGGAAGCCACAGACGUGGCUCAUAAAGAAGCUGCUGAACACCUAUACGGUGGAAGACUCGUCAUCUGCAGAGUGCUCCUCUACGGAUGAGGAUGACACGAUGUAUGAUGUCAGCAGCAUCAAAGAUGAGGUGUGGGACUCUCCACUGACCCCCAAUUCGGCCAGGAACAUCGGUGAAGAAGAAAGAAGAGGAGAGCUGGCCCCAGAUUGGUUCUCCUCGGUCCAUCUGGGAGAUUGCUCCUCUACGGAUGAGGAUGACACGAUGUGUCCAGGGAGCCCCUGGUGGCGCAGUGGUAAAACUGCUGCCCUGUAACCAGAAGGUUACAAGUUCGAUCCUGACCAGGAGCUCAAGGUUGACUCAGCCUUCCAUCAUUCCGAGGGAGACUUCACAGAUUGUCCAGACUCUACUGGAGAGGGUGGCCCAGGUGACCCCAGAGAAGACCUGCUGGGAAUCCUUGUGCUCUCUGCACAGCUGCCUCCAGGGUGUGGCCCUCUUGGUGAGCUGCUCCUGAAAGACGAACACUUUGCCUCCUUGGAGAAGACCUGGACACUCCUGGUAGCUUGGUUUGUCCAUCUCAGCCAGACCAUCUGCUACAUGAGCGAAAGGGGCCUUCUUCAUAUUUAUGGCAACCUGAAGGCGGCGAAGAAACAACAGGAUUUUAGUGCCAGGAUCCUGGGAGGGCUCAGGACCUCCAGUCUGGAAGCCACUUUGGGGGUCCUGGAAUUCAUGGAGCGGCUAAGGCACUGUGAUUCUGAAGAUCAGGCCACAGUGAAUGCUGUCCUGGUUGCCCUGUGCCGCCCUCUCUUCCACCACAUGAGUACUUGCACUCCAGCCCUCUGCCCCAGGACCAGCCAAUGACAAAAAGAGACUGGCCAGCUCUAUGAGGACCGGCCAUCCUCCAGAUUCCGACUGGGUUGGAGAAGGGAAACCAGACACCCCCUAGAAGACCUGUUGCAAGAGACCCAUGCAAGCUCUUCUUCAUGUUGAUGGAGGUGAGGAAUUCCUCCGUACCAACGACCCCUGUUCUCUGAAGGAGGAGGCUAAGAUCCGUGCAGCAGCCAUGAGGACACAUCUGGAUCUUCUACAGCACCACCACCACCACCAAGAGAGUACAGAACAGAACAUCAUGGCCCCCAUCAUGGUGCUGAUGCAUGUGGAGGAUGAAGACCUGGAGGUAGCACAGAUUUGGCAGCUCGGCUCAGAGAACGUCGUGGAGAUGAAGGUCUCCAGCAUCCUGGGCUUCUUCCUCAGCGAGCAGCCUUCAGUGAGGAUAAUGGCUGCCAUGCUGAUUGAUAAGUGAAACAAGACUUUUGGGUCUCCCUUAAUGGGUCAUCUUGGUGGGCAAAAGUUCACUCUCUUUGAGGGCACUGGCAGAAGGGUGUGGAGGUGCAGGAGCUGUUCCCUCCCCUGGAGGACUGGCCCACUGAGUGUUAGCUAGGUCUCUUGGCUUAAUUUCCUCCCAAGGUGACUCAGAGUCCCUGGAGGAAUCGCUCAGUCCCAGAGGGAUUAGAGAGGGGAGGACUUCCUCUCUUGAAAGAUGGGAUGCAGAUUGUUCAUGUGCAGGGUCCUGAAAAGUGUUCCCAUUUCCUUCCAUUUCCUUUUUUAGGUCACCUGGUCCACAAAAAAGGCAGCAUCCUCACUGAAGGGAACAUAGAGACCUGUUAUGCUGCGCUGGAGAGCUUGCUUGGCGACCAUGACCCCGAAGUUGAGAGAGUUGCCUGCAAGACAGAGAAGAUCUUGAAGAAGGCCUUUUCCCUCCACUCACGGCACAGGCUGCAGGCUGCCAUUUGGCACUUGUGGGUGGGCUGUAAGAGGAAGAGAUACCCUCCAGAGUACCACGCCAACUGUGUCCUUACAUGCAACUUCCCAGAGGUUAUGUUGGGAAGCCCCACCCCCAGCGUAAGAGAACAGCUUUUGGGCCAGGAGGCAGCAGGUGCCCCAAGUCUCCUCCUGAGAUGGGCCACCCCUCGGACUGCACCCCAGCUAGGCUCCCUCUGCAUUUGCAGGCCUUGCAGAGGAUGCCUCUACCUCCCACUUCCUCGCUCACCCCUGCACCCUCCCAGCUGCUCCUUUUGCUCCAGCAGGCAGGAAAGGGUGAGCAGAAGACCCCCUGAUGAGAAUUGGGGUGGGAGGUAUUGCAACACCCUCCCUUGCUGCUCAGGGGGCAGGCCAAGGUAAAGCAGAAUUCUCUGGCCCGCCCUCUGUGAACCCCCACACCGCUGCCCAAUCCCUGAGUGAAUGCAUCUGAGCACUUGCUUGGCUGCUGGAGUGGAAACAGAGGAGUAGCAGGGCAACCCCACUGACGCUGCUUUGUCCUUCUUGCUGGCAUGUGCUGCUGCUGGGCAGCUAGAGGAGCUGAUUCACCAAGAAGAAGAGAACAUGUCAACAUGCCUGCAAGGAUGGGUGGGAUUUGGGGCUGGCUGGGACUCCCCUAAAUUUUGUUGCCUUUAACAUCCCCUCGUUCUGUGUGACCCCAGGCUUCCCUCCCUCCCUCCCAGGGACAGAAUGGGCUUUGCUGGUAGUCUUGUUGGGGGCCGAGUAGGAAUUUUGGGCUUUCCAACAGAUUGGCUGUGAUGGAAAGUUUUUUUGCCUAUCCCAUUCUGUCUUGUUUUGUUUCCUUUAGUUGAAAAGGUAUGUAAUGACUUGAAAUCUAGUGAAAUGUAUAAUAAGGUUGCCGCUUUUGUUCA